rnacentral:rRNA from 1 species
AUUGAACGCUGGCGGCAGGCCUAACACAUGCAAGUCGAACGGUAACGGGAAGACGCUUGCUUCUUUGCUGACGAGUGGCGGACGGGUGAGUAAUGUCUGGGAAACUGCCUGAUGGAGGGGGAUAACUACUGGAAACGGUAGCUAAUACCGCAUAACGUCGCAAGACCAAAGAGGGGGACCUUCGGGCCUCUUGCCAUCGGAUGUGCCCAGAUGGGAUUAGCUAGUAGGUGGGGUAACGGCUCACCUAGGCGACGAUCCCUAGCUGGUCUGAGAGGAUGACCAGCCACACUGGAACUGAGACACGGUCCAGACUCCUACGGGAGGCAGCAGUGGGGAAUAUUGCACAAUGGGCGCAAGCCUGAUGCAGCCAUGCCGCGUGUAUGAAGAAGGCCUUCGGGUUGUAAAGUACUUUCAGCGGGGAGGAAGGGAGUAAAGUUAAUACCUUUGCUCAUUGACGUUACCCGCAGAAGAAGCACCGGCUAACUCCGUG